rnacentral:rRNA from 1 species
CCUACGGGGGGCAGCAGUGAGGAAUAUUGGUCAAUGGACGAGAGUCUGAACCAGCCAAGUAGCGUGAAGGAUGACUGCCCUAUGGGUUGUAAACUUCUUUUAUAUGGGAAUAAAACGUUCCACGUGUGGGAUUUUGUAUGUACCAUAUGAAUAAGGAUAGGCUAACUCCGUGCCAGCAGCCGCGGUAAUACGGAGGAUCCGAGCGUUAUCCGGAUUUAUUGGGUUUAAAGGGAGCGUAGGUGGAUUGUUAAGUCAGUUGUGAAAGUUUGCGGCUCAACCGUAAAAUUGCAGUUGAAACGGGCAGUCUUGAGUACAGUAGAGGUGGGCGGAAUUCGAGGUGUAGCGGUGAAAUGCGUAGAUAUCACGAAGAACUCCGAUUGCGAAGGCAGUUCACUGGACUGCAACUGACACUGAGGCUCGAAAGUGUGGGUAUCAAACAGGAUUAGAUACCCUAGUAGUC